GACGAACGCUGGCGGCGUGCCUAAUACAUGCAAGUAGGACGCAGUUGCGAACGGGUGAGUAACGCGUAGGUGACUGCCUAUUGGAGGGGGAUGACUAUUGGAAACGAUCGCUAAUACCGCAUACUAGUAGAUGGACCUGCGUUGUAUUAGCUAGUAGGUAGGGUAAUGGCCUACCUAGGCAAAGAUACAUAGCCGACCUGGGUGGGUUGUCGGCCACAAUGGGACCGGAGAACGGGCCAGACUCCUACGGGAGGCAGCAGUAGGGAAUCUUCGGCAAUGGGGGGAACCCUGACCGAGCAACGCCGCGUGAGUGAAGAAGGUUUUCGGAUCGUAAAGCUCUGUUGUUAAGGAAGCGGUACUUAACCAGAAAGGGACGGCUAACUACGUGCCAGCAGCCGCGGUAAUAC
rnacentral:rRNA from 1 species